UACAGAGGGUGCAAGCGUUGUUCGGAAUUACUGGGCGUAAAGCGUGCGCAGGCGGUUUUGUAAGCCAGAUGUGAAAUCCCCGGGCUUAACCUGGGAAUGGCAUUUGGGACUGCAAGGCUGGAGUUUGGCAGAGGAGACUGGAAUUCCUGGUGUAGCAGUGAAAUGCGUAGAUAUCAGGAGGAAUACCGAUGGCGAAGGCAGGUCUCUGGGCUAUAACUGACGCUCAUGCACGAAAGCGUGGGGAGCAAACAGG
rnacentral:rRNA from 1 species